rnacentral:tRNA from 1 species
GGCGAAGUAGCAAAGUGGUUACUGCGAUUGACUCGAAAGGGCUGUGUCCCUACAGCCGUAUUCGAUAUCAAUUCCCUUCGGGGGCGUAGGUUCGAAUCCUGCCUUCGUCG